GAUGAAGAACGCAGCGAAAUGCGAUAAGUAUUGUGAAUUGCAGAAUUCAGUGAAUCAUCGAAUCUUUGAACGCACAUUGCGCCCGCCAGUAUUCUGGCGGGCAUGCCUGUCCGAGCGUCAUUUCAACCCUCGAACCCCUCCGGGGGGUCGGCGUUGGGGAUCGGCCCUCCCUUAGCGGGUGGCCGUCUCCGAAAUACAGUGGCGGUCUCGCCGCAGCCUCUCCUGCGCAGUAGUUUGCACACUCGCAUCGGGAGCGCGGCGCGUCCACAGCCGUUAAACACCCAACUUCUGAAAUGUUGACCUCGGAUCAGGUAGGAAUACCCGCUGAACUUAAGCAUAUCAAUAAGCGGAGGA
rnacentral:misc_RNA from 1 species